rnacentral:rRNA from 1 species
GGGAAUAUUGCGCAAUGGCCGAAAGGCUGACGCAGCGACGCCGCGUGUGGGAUGACGCCCUUCGGGGUGUAAACCACUGUCAGAAGGGAAGAAACUCGUGCUUUCGAAUAGGGAGUGCGAUUGACGGUACCUUCAGAGGAAGCACCGGCUAACUCCGUGACAGCAGCCGCGGUAAUACGGAGGGUGCGAGCGUUGUCCGGAUUUAUUGGGUUUAAAGGGUGCGUAGGCGGCCUGUUAAGUCAGUGGUGAAAGGUAUCAGCUCAACUGAUGACGUGCCAUUGAAACUGGCGGGCUUGAGUACAGACGAGGUAGGCGGAAUUUAUGGUGUAGCGGUGAAAUGCAUAGAUACCAUAAAGAACACCGAUAGCGAAGGCAGCUUACUAGGCUGAGACUGACGCUGAGGCACGAGAGCGUGGGGAGCGAA